AUUGAACGCUGGCGGCAGGCCUAACACAUGCAAGUCGAGCGGAUGAAGGGAGCUUGCUCCUGGAUUCAGCGGCGGACGGGUGAGUAAUGCCUAGGAAUCUGCCCGGUAGUGGGGGAUAACGUCCGGAAACGGGCGCUAAUACCGCAUACGUCCUGAGGGAGAAAGUGGGGGAUCUUCGGACCUCACGCUAUCAGAUGAGCCUAGGUCGGAUUAGCUAGUUGGUGGGGUAAAGGCCUACCAAGGCGACGAUCCGUAACUGGUCUGAGAGGAUGAUCAGUCACAAGGAAAGUGAGACAGGGGCGAAACCGAUGGGGGGGGGAGGUGGGGGAAAUUUUGGAAAGGGGGCGAAAGCCUGAUACAGCCGUGCCGCGUGGGGGAAAAAGUUUUGGGGAGUGAAAAGCAUUUGAAGGGGGGGGGAAGGGCAGGAAGUAAAACCGUGGCUGUUUAGGGGUUACCAACAAAAAAAACACGGGCAAAAUGUG
rnacentral:rRNA from 1 species